GCGGCAGGCCUAACACACGCAAGUCGAACGUGAAGCCACCUUCGGGUGGUGGAAAGUGGCAGACGGGUGAGUAACGCGUGGGAAUCUACCCAAUGGUACGGAAUAACUCAGGGAAACUUGAGCUAAUACCGUAUGUGCCCGAAAGGAGACAGAUUUAUCGCCAUUGGAUGAGCCCGCGUCGGAUUAGCUAGUUGGUGGGGUAACGGCCCACCAAGGCGACGAUCCGUAGCUGGUCUGAGAGGAUGAUCAGCCACACUGGGACUGAGACACGGCCCAGACUCCUACGGGAGGCAGCAGUGGGGAAUAUUGGACAAUGGGCGCAAGCCUGAUCCAGCCAUGCCGCGUGAGUGAUGAAGGCCCUAGGGUUGUAAAGCUCUUUCGACGGGGACGAUAAUGACGGUACCCGUAGAAGAAGCCCCGGCUAACUUCGUGCCAGCCGCCGCGGUAAAAC
rnacentral:rRNA from 1 species